GGAGCCCGUACGUCAUAGGAGUCCGUCUGAGAUCUGUCCGUUAUAGGAGUUCGAUCGGAGUCCGAUCUCCGUAAAAGCCCGGAUGGGGAUCAUUUGUCGAGGGUCUCGGCCGAAGUCUGCCUGCGAUAGAAAUCCGAAAGGAAUGCAUCCACAAUGGGAGCUCGGGUGAAGGCUUACAGUAAAAAUCCGGCAUGGACCGCUUGUAGUAGAAAUUUGAAGUAGACCGUUUGUAGCAAAAGCUCGG
rnacentral:lncRNA from 1 species